AAGUUUUAUAAUAAAAAUACACAAAAACCCAUCAACCACCACGCCUCUGCACCCACCCAACCCAGUGAGCCGCCCACCACCCAGUGGCCGGCAAACCCUCCCUCCUCGACUCCGGCAAAAGCUCAUCCUUUGAACCUUCUGCCUCUUCCUCUCACCUUUUCUUAUCUACCCAGCGAAAGCAAACCCAACACAAACCCACAACAUCUCCAUGGCAAAGCUGAGAAAACCGAAUUGAUUUGUGCCGCCGCCGCCACCGCCGCCUUCAGAGACGACUAUCGCUCGCCAACAGAAGCUCAGAUUCCCUAAUUCCUGUGGUAUCAAUCAGUGGCGGAUCUUGGAUAUGAUGAUGUUUGAGUGUCACACAAAUAAGCACUUUCCCACAAAGUCUGAUAAAUAAAAAAGGGGCUUAAAAUGGGAGCUGCUGCUUUGUCAGCUUCAAAGUGUGCUCCAGAUGGGCAGCAAAGUCGUUUUAAAACCAGUAACUUGUCCUCCAUAUCUUCUCCUACUACAAAGAUGUUCAAGCUUGGACGAACUUAAGAAAAUCCAUGCCCAUGCAGUCACUACUGGUCUUGCUCGUUUUGCCUACACUGCCAGCAAGCUCUUAGCCUUCUCUGCAUUAUCAGAACAUGGUAAUAUGCACUAUGCCGAGACACUGUUACACCAAAUUCCAAGACCCAAUGUAUUUGAUUACAAUUCCAUGAUAAUGGGUUUCUUGAAGAGCUCAGAAUCUGAAAAGGGUCUCUCCAUUUACACCAGAAUGAGAAGGAUAGGCACAGAGCCAAACGCUCGUACUUUCACCUUUGUAGUUAAAGCAUGUCUUGAGGUAUCUUUGCUUGGUCAGGUACAUGGUCAAAUAACGAAGUUUGGGCAUGGGUGUGAUGUUUAUGUUAUUAGCUCACUUAUUAGGGCCUCAUGUCGAUGUGAAGCUGUGGAAUUUGCUCGUAGAGUGUUUGAGGAAAGUUUGGAUAAGAAUGUGGUUUGUUGGACUAGUCUUAUUAGUGGAUAUUGUAGUAAUGGGCUGGUUCAUGAAGCUCGUGAUCUGUUUGAUGCAAUGCCGGAUAUAAAUGAUGUUUCUUAUAGUGCAAUGGUUUCUGGGUAUGUUGGGAAUGCUUGUUUCAAUGAAGCAAUUGAUUUGUUUCGUCAAUUGAAAAGCCAUACACAAGUGAGGCUCAAUGAGUCUCUUUUGGUUAGCACUCUUAAUGCUUGUGCGUCAGUGGGUGCCUUUGAAGAAGGGAAGUGGAUUCAUUCGUUUUUGGAAGAAAAUGGUUUUGAGUAUGGACUUGAGCUUGGUACUGCACUAGUAGAUUUUUAUGCAAAAUGUGGAUGUAUUAAAGACGCACAAGACGUGUUUAGCAGGAUGCCUCAUAAAGAUGUAACUACUUGGAGUGCUAUGAUCAUGGGAUUUGCCAUCAAUGGUGAGAAUGAUAUGGGGCUUGAGCUUUUUGCAGAAAUGGAAAAGAAAGGACCUAAACCAAAUGCAGUGACAUUUGUUGGAGUACUCACUGCAUGUAAUCACAAAAUUCUGGUAAAUGAAGCAUGGCGGUUGAUAGGACGCAUGAGUAAAGUUUAUGGCAUUGCUCUGGGGAUUGAGCACUAUGGCUGCAUGGUUGAUCUCUUGGCCCGUGCUGGGAAACUGAAUGAAGCAGAGAUAUUGAUAAGAAGUAUGGCAAUGAAAGCGGACGGUGCUAUUUGGGGGUCUUUGUUUAAUGGAUGUCUGAUACAUGACCAUGUUGACUUAGGGGCGAGGGUGGGGAAGCUUUUGAUUGAAUUAGAGCCUCAACAUAGUGGUAGGUAUGUUCUUCUGGCCAACAUGUAUGCCAAAAUGGGCAACUGGGAGGAUGUGACGAGGCUAAGGAAAAUGAUGAGAGAUAGGGAAGUAGGUACAAUUUCAGCUUGGAGCUUCAUUGAGACUGAUGGUAUUGUCCAUAAAUUCAUGGCAGACGAUAAGUCUCAUUCCCAUUCGAGAAAGAUAAACACAAGUUUAAACCAACUCAGCAGGGCACUUGAAAGUUUUUCCAUUGCUAGUGACGCAUCGUUACUUUAAAGAAACCAUUAUCUUGGAAAUGGAAGGACCAAUCCGCAGGCAAGUCGAUCCUGUCUUUUCAAAGACGCAUCUAGCUACAAUCUUGACGUUGUAUUUAGCUCAGAGACCUGCCUCCUUUGAUUUCAACUUGCGUUCGCAGCAAACAAGGGUUGUUGAAAUUCCUGUGUUCCCAUUCACCUAUUUUAAAGUUUUCUCCACAUCCAUUGAAUGAAGGGCAGUUGCAGAAACGAGUCAUACAUCUUCCUAAUAUUUAAUUCCCACGGUUCCUCUGAUGCCUGCAAAACUGGCUGUGAGAGACUUUGUCACCAUGCCAAGUGGAUUUUGAUUGGUCGUGAGAUGGUGGAAAAAGCAGGAUGCUGAUGUGGCUUAUAAAACUCUAAAACAUCUUGUACCCACCGUUUUUUCAAUACCACUCUCACUCUCACUCUUUCUCUCUCUCUCUCUCUCUCUCAACAAACCCA